rnacentral:rRNA from 1 species
AUACAGAGGGGGCAAGCGUUGUUCGGAAUUACUGGGCGUAAAGGGCGCGUAGGCGGCCGCCUAAGUCAGACGUGAAAUCCCUCGGCUCAACCGGGGAACUGCGUCUGAUACUGGGUGGCUUGAAUCCGGGAGAGGGAUGCGGAAUUCCAGGUGUAGCGGUGAAAUGCGUAGAUAUCUGGAGGAACACCGGUGGCGAAGGCGGCAUCCUGGACCGGCAUUGACGCUGAGGCGCGAAAGCCAGGGGAGCAAACG